rnacentral:rRNA from 1 species
UACGUAGGGACCGAGCGUUGUCCGGAAUCAUUGGGCGUAAAGAGCGUGUAGGCGGCCCCUUAAGUCCUGCGUGAAAUCCUGCGGCUCGACCGCAGACGGUCGUGGGAAACUGGAGGGCUAGAGUGCGGGAGAGGAGAGUGGAAUUCCCGGUGUAGCGGUGAAAUGCGCAGAUAUCGGGAAGAACACCCGUGGCGAAGGCGGCUCUCUGGAACGCAACUGACGCUGAGACGCGAAAGCGUGGGGAGCAAACAGGG